UGACAGCUCCUGAGCACAAUGUGUUUGAAAAUGUCUGGGUCCAGGGCAUGUGUUGGUUAAGCUGUGUUCAGUCUGGAUUGCAGGUGCACAUCUUGUUCUGCAGAAAUUUGUCGCAGAAAUAUUAUGUGAAGUAUGAGUGAAAAUAUUGGAACAUUGGAAGGAAGAGUAGAACAGAGGGCCAAAAGAAUGGAAAUGGGUGGUUUUAAUAGCAAAGCACACAGUUUCCAGCUGUAAAAUUUAGGAAUGCAAGGAGGUUUUGUGUCAUGACUACCAGGUCUCCACUGUGGAUGAUGUGCUGGUGGAAGAUCCUGCAUCUUAACAUUGGGAGGAGGACAAGAGUGAAGCGCAUCACAAAUAACAUUCCUUUUCCUGUUAGUCCAUCCAGAAAAAGCAUCUGUCUUAAGAAAAAAAACAUGGGCAGCAACCUGGUCUAAUAUUUAUGAAAGCUGAAGUCACCAAGAUUUUGAGCUGAAGGGCCACCUCAUAAAAACUGAGGACUUCUAAACAAGUGUGAGUGAACUCAAGCUAAUUUGUGAGUGGGAAAGUGUCUUGGUUUAAAACAAUUAUACAGACAGGACACUCCAAAAUUAGUUAUCUCUCCUUGUAUUUUUAACCUUUUUCACCAAUAAGGAGAGAUGAAUGUGAGGAGAUGUAAGUGAAAAAAAUAGCAGUUCACUAAAAAUAAAACAGCAACAACCAAGAUAACAGUAAUAACCACUAGAUACAAAUGUGCUGAAUCUUGUUGACAAAGAAAAACAGUAACCAAGCGUCCAUGAUCACAGAACCCCCUCAUCCCCCAAACAACAGCCACCAGGGAACAAGGACAAAACAGAAGAAUCCUUUCCAAAACCAGUCAAAUGCUACUGAUCCAUCUGCUCCACCUGAGAGGAGCUGUCCUGACAGUGGCAGCUGGAACUGGGUCAGUGGCUGGGACUCCUGGAGAGAGGGGAUGGUGCUGGUGGAGCUGUCCUGGGUGGCAGCAGCAAAAAAAGAUCUGAAGGAAACGUCCUCCGUGGCCCAGAAACUGAGCAACCAGAAGGAUGUUCCAGAAUCCUCCAAAGCCUGGAGAUAAACAAACCUUCCUUGCACUGCCUGACUCAGAGAACCUGCCCCAGACAGCUUUCUUGGCAGCCUGGCCAAAAAAAGCUGCAGCCUCUGCUCCCAAGCCCUGGGGAGGACAGAGGAGCUCUGUGUGCCUGUUCCUUCUCUUUUAGAGGGACCCCAGGUCACCUGCCUCUCUUCUUCCAGCUCCUGGCUUCCAAAGGGACAGCAGUCAUCUUGGGCAGGUUGGUGUAGGGAAGAUAUGGAAUACAAUACACCUUUUUUUGGGUUACCAGGACAGAAGGACAGCAACUUACUUAGAGAUUUUAAAUAUAAAUAUCAUCUUCUCCAUCUACGGAAUUUUGCCUUGCAUUUUGUUGUGCCUCUUUGCCUUCUUGUGUUUGUAAGCACAGUGGGAGUUGUUGCUGCACUUAGAGAUCCUGCAUUGGUCAUGGUAUUUUUGUUUUCUUACUGCUAAAUUGCAGCUAUUUCUUGUGGAAUUCUGCACCUCUUUCUGAACAAAUUAUUUGCUUCAUUUAAUGGGAUUUCUGGAACUGAGUGAGGAAAACUGGUGGCAGCUUAUUUAUUACAGAACCAUCUCUGUGGAGAGCUUAAUGUCCAUCUCAGCAGUGCCUGAGAAGCCUGGCUGGUGUUUGUUGGGACUGAUGGGGGUUUUGUUUGUGGCAAUGAUACAGAAACUCACCUGAGGUCCUGCAGGCCUGUGCUGUUUGCCAGUUAGAAAUGAAGGUCAGGAAUUGUUGCUGUCCCUGUUAGCUCUCUCAUGAUGACAUGUUCAUCAUUUAUUCUAUGUAAUUUUAUGUGGAUGAUUAGACAUGAUUAGACUCUCACAUGAUUAAACUCUGGGCUGACUUGGCAGCACUCUCUUGGCUGCCUGGUAAGUAGAACAGCCUUGGUAGGACAGCUGAUGGGAAACUGGAUUUAGGAAUGAAUGUGGGUGGGAGUGGGUGUGAAGGACUUUCUCCUCAUUUCCAUUGGGCUUGAGCAGCUUGGGAGAGGUGGGAAGGAUGUGCUGCCCUGAUUCUUUGGGGCAAAAAUGUCUCUUGCUAAGGUUUUCAGGCUGCUGAUGUCCUGAAGUUCUUAGCUCUUCAGGACUCCAAUAUCUCCUUGAAUUUAUCUAAAUUCUUCAGGUUUGCAGAAUUCCCCUUCCUCCUCAUAUAGAAGUCUUCAGUGUCUUUGUUUUGAGAAAUUAGCUGUUCAUGACAAUGUUGGACCUUUUCAGAGAAAGAAAGGGUUUUUUAAUUUAAAAAUUAUUUAAUUCUAAAAACAGAGCAUACACACCCCGAAACCUGCAGAAAAGUGAUUCUUUUGGAGAAAAAGCAUUUUGUUAAAUCCAGUUUUCUGAUUUUACCCCACUUUGGGCAGCUGUUAGUUACUAGCCUGACAGAUUCUAUGCUUAUCUCCAGACUGGUGAAAACACAGCAUGGGGAUACCUGCUUCACUCCCACCUAGUAAAGAAGAAAUCAUUUUUAAAUGAAUGUAUGUGCCGUAUGUAUGCCAUAGAGCUUUUACAAGCCACAGUUUAACUCAAAGGUCACAUGUGCAAGCAAAGGAAAAAAAAACAAACAAACCAAACCUCAAAUAUUUUAUUUAUUAUUUUAUUUAUAUUUUAUUCUGUAUUUUCCAUCAGCCAGUGAUGCCUGACUGCUUCUCAGGAAGAAGGACUGCAGCACGUGUGGAGUUUGUUUAGGAAGGCAAAUGUAAAUAAUAAUUCCUCCUCCUUUUUCUUAGCUUUCAUAUGUGGCAUUGAAUGUCCCUGUGGUCACUUUGGGCCAGCUGUCCUGGCUGUGUCCCCUCCCAGGACCUUGCCCACCCCCAGCCUGCUGGAGGGAGCAUUGAUGCUGUGCCAGCC